rnacentral:rRNA from 1 species
GACGAACGCUGGCGGCGUGCUUAACACAUGCAAGUCGAGCGGUAAGGCCCUUUCGGGGGUACACGAGCGGCGAACGGGUGAGUAACACGUGGGUGACCUGCCCUCAGCUCUGGGAUAAGCCUGGGAAACCGGGUCUAAUACUGGAUAUGACUCCAUGACGCAUGUUGUGGGGUGGAAAGCCUUGUGCGGCUGAGGAUGGGCCCGCGGCCUAUCAGCUUGUUGGUGGGGUGANGGCCUACCAAGGCGACGACGGGUAGCCGGCCUGAGAGGGCGACCAGCCACACGGGGACUGAGACACGGCCCCGACUCCUACGGGAGGCAGC